rnacentral:rRNA from 1 species
GCCUACGGGGGGCAGCAGUAGGGAAUCUUCCACAAUGGACGAAAGUCUGAUGGAGCAACGCCGCGUGGGUGAAGAAGGUCUUCGGAUCGUAAAACCCUGUUGUUAGGGAAGAAAGUGCGUGAGAGUAACUGUUCACGUUUCGACGGUAUCUAACCAGAAAGCCACGGCUAACUACGUGCCAGCAGCCGCGGUAAUACGUAGGUGGCAAGCGUUAUCCGGAUUUAUUGGGCGUAAAGGGAACGCAGGCGGUCUUUUAAGUCUGAUGUGAAAGCCUUCGGCUUAACCGGAGUAGUGCAUUGGAAACU